UACGGGGGGAGCAAGCGUUGUUCGGAUUUACUGGGCGUAAAGGGCGCGUAGGCGGCCACCGCAAGUCGACUGUGAAAUCUCCGGGCUUAACCCGGAAAGGUCAGCCGAUACUGCGGGGCUAGAGUGCAGAAGGGGCAACUGGAAUUCUCGGUGUAGCGGUGAAAUGCGUAGAUAUCGAGAGGAACACCAGUGGCGAAGGCGGGUCGAC
rnacentral:rRNA from 1 species